GUAUGGAUUGUUUCUUCCAAAAGUAAGCAAAGAUUUCAAUGUCUUUAUGAUAAGCGUUCACUUUGGGGAAGUUAUUUAUUUUAUAUGACAAACAAACAAACAAACCCUAAAACGUUUGUUGUAUCAGUCAGUGGUUUCAGAUUACUCUAAAAGGGCAUGCUGGGAAAAAGGAAAUAGACCAAGCAGAAUGGAAACUCAGUCAGAAACCAGGAAUGAGAUCAGAGCAACACUGGCAAUUGCCAUUUUUCUCAUAAUAUAUAAGGUAGCCAAUGUGUCUAAAUGUGUCUUACAUGACCAAGCCAUCAUGAAAGGGUAAAUGGCUGCAAAACACUGGUGUAAAAUUUGUGCUAUUAUGACUUUGUUCAUACCUGGAUUUGGCUGGGUUAAAGUCUGUGUCAUGGAAAUAGCUUCACCACCCACCCACACACACACACACACACACUCCUAGUGUUUGGUUUGAUUUUUUUUGGGGGGGUGGUGGUAAUUGUGUUGCCAGUUCUCUGUGUUAUGAGUUGUUUCUUUAUUAUUAUUAUUUUUUUAAUUGUGCCAAAUGCUUUGCUAAAGAUGCUCAUCGUGAGAGGCUGAGGCAGACUACGCACGCACGCAUCUCAGUCUCCCUGCAUAUGCACUCAUGAUUUACUCUGACUGUGGAAUCACCCCAUACUGUUAAAGGGCAUGUGAUAUUAACAAAUGUUUGCAGUCUCUUGUACAGCUGUAAGCAAAAUAAUUAACUAAUUAAACUAAUUAAAUGUAAUUACAAUAACUCAUUUUGGGCAUAUUGCAGCUGCUUAAUUUUUUUUUUCUCCUCUUCUCUGACAGUCACUAAGAGAAUGUGUAACGUUUAGAGUAGCUGCUUCAAGGCCUGAAUGUCAGUCACAUGCCACAGAUUUAAGAGAGCGAAUGGGUACACAUUUGCAAUCUUUAAUUAUCUUACAGACUGGUAUUGGAAAACACAGCUUUAACGACUGCAGCCCUUUCUUAUUGAAGCUAGAGGAAAACAGUCCUUAUGUUGGUAGUCAACAAUCCCCAGCCUCAGCCUUUGACGAUUCACUCGAGCUGCUUAACAGUCAUGAAGAAUAAUUAAAGAAAAGAAUGAUUUAGAAAGUAAUCCAUCCAGACUCAAAUUGGGGAAGUAGGUAGCAGUUUGUGGACUAAGAAUGACGAAGGGGUUAAAAGCAUGCUAAAGUUUCUGCAUUUCAAAAGUCGUGAUUAUAUGCUUGGAGAGAUAGGACAGGCAGGAGAAACAGCAGCUGAAUGGUGCCUUUUGAUUUUGAUUUUUUUUUUAUAAUGUUGCCCAGUAUUCUUUAGGUAAUACCAUCUUUGGCUGGUAUGCUUAUUUGGUGUGUGCUUAAGCUGGCAAAUGUGUUGACUACUUACUUUCACUGGCUUCUCUAGAGUCUUCUCUGGGUAAUUGCUGGUUGAUUGGGGUGGGGUGAGGGAGGAGCUUUCCUGUCUCCCAUUGUCAUUUUUGUUUAAUUCCCCCCUCCCUCUUUGUGGCAAGCUAGAACAGCUUAGCUCAGGGUUCGUAUCCUAGCAACAUCAAUUGGCUGGCAGAGGGACAUGCCCAGCAGAUGACCAAUCAGAAAUGUUAUUAAUAGUCAGGCCAAUAAAAAUAUCUGGAACUUAAGCUUGCCUAGAAAAAAUGAGGUUCAUGGUUUCCUUAGAUGUGGGAAGCAUUUGGUUGCCAUUUUUGAAUAUGUUUGCCAGAGAAACAUGACUAUGCAGAAGGUAACUUCCAGGGAUAAAGAAGAGUGUUGACUAGAAUUGCCUGCUCUGUUUUCUCAAACUGCCACAUGUUUUCCACCAAAGCUUUUUAAAAGCAUGCAUGGCUUAAAACAGUAAAGUAGUCCCCUGCUCAUGUUAAUAGAUUUGGGGUGAGUAGUAAAAUAUGAAUGUUAGGUCGGUUCCAUUAUUUGAUACUUGAAAUGUUUGCUUUAUUAUGUAAAGAAAAGAUCCUAACAUCAUAUUUUUACCUUUAGAAGCCACAGG
rnacentral:lncRNA from 1 species